GGGCAGCGGCGGGGGCAGAGCUGCGGGCAGAGCUCCUCGCCUGCGCCGAGCCCCGUCCCACGCGAGACAGCGAGAAGCCGUGGGUCAGCGAAGCCUCGCAACAGGGGCACCCCCGGCUGUGGAGUUUCCCACAGAAAGAGAGAAGUUAUCACUCGGAAGAUACCGCCUCAAGCUCAGGGGUGGCAAAACUUGCCGUGGAUGAUACUUGCCGAUUCCUGCUCUUGAAACGUUAAGGACCUUAGUUUUCUUGGUGCAUUUAGUUUUUUAGAACAGCCCAUUUCUGUCCCCAGAAAUAUAUUUGGUACAAAGAUUGCAAAAUCCUCAUUUGCUCGAUGUAGGCUCAUUGCAAAUUUGUUACUUUUUUUCCCUCUUGAACACACCAAAUUAUCCAGGAUUGCAUCAAGGCUUUUCUUUCCAGAGCCCCUGAAAGCCAAAGCCAUGCUCCUUUGCUUUUUAGCAAGUCAGUUUGUCCCUGUGCCGUUGCUUGGGCUGACUGUGGGAGAUGCUCCCCAACCCGUGCCAGUGCCAGCGCUCCCGAGAUGGCAGUGCCAGCGCUCCCGAGAUGGCAGGGCCACCUCAUCGCCCAGCCUCAGCUCGGGCCAGGCCAGCUCCACGGCCGCGGGCAGCGUGGCCUCCCUGAGGAGCUGCAGGGACAGCUCUCCUUCGCUCCCGUCCAGACUCUCGGGCAGACUCCAUCUAUCUCAUCUAAUUGUUUUGUGCGAUUCAUUGUCCUUUAUCUUCUCCUAUCUCCUAUCGUCCGAGGUUUGCCCAACCGCGGCUCCAGGCGACGUCACGUUUCAAGUGCUUUCCUCAUUGCUUGUGCGCACACACACUCAUCCGCGGCCGUGAUGACGGGGUUGCAGCUCGCUUGUUGGCAGAACCAGUUCACGCGGGCUGAGGAGACAGGUUGCCCGUUCCGGCUUGGUUAUGUAUUGCUUACUUGCAGGAAUUAUUCAUUGUUUGCUUCUGGUUUUGUUUUUUAAUGGCUGUACAAUUUAUUAGGUGCACUCAUAAGUAUCUGGGAAGCUUUCUUUUUCCUGUUUCUCAGAUAUGUGAAACAUCCACAAGUGUGGAAUUUCAAUUAAAAAUUGCAUUUAUAUUGCUUAAUUCUUUCUACAUAGACUGGCUUCAGUAGAGCUGGAUGAGUUCAGUCCAUAGCUCCUUCAUGGUUAUUUGCACCAUAUUAGAGAAAGAGUCUUCAAAAUUAUUUCAUUCUUAUUUUAUCCACCUGUAUGACGACACGUUCAAGAGUUUUUGACAUGUUAAUGUGAAGAGUAAAAUUACAGCCCUGCCGGUGCAGCUGGGAGUUUUGCUGCUGAUGCCAGCAACAUAGGAUCUCAUCCAGAGACAUGGCGUAAAGCAGGAAAGCAGGAAUGAAAGUGCAUGGCCAGGGCCGGCACUCUGGAGGUAUUUUAAAACAUCUCUUUGUCAACCACAAGCCAAUAUUUAUCUGAUCUGCCUACAUGCUUGUGUCUCCCCAUUGUCAUUAUAACACUCCCCAAGUACUAAAAUAAAACUAACAAUCUGUA